AGAACGAACGCUGGCGGCAUGCCUAACACAUGCAAGUCGAACGCUCUUGAGGCUUCGGUUUCAAGGGAGUGGCGCACGGGUGAGUAGCGCGUGGGAACCUGCCCUGUUGUGGGGGAUAACCGAGGGAAACUUCGGCUAAUACCGCAUACGCCCCGGGACUUGGUCUUCGGAUUAGGUCUGGGGGGAAAGAUUGAUCGCAGCAGGAGGGGCCCGCGUCGGAUUAGCUGGUUGGCGGGGUAAUGGCCCACCAAGACGAUGAUCUGUA
rnacentral:rRNA from 1 species